AUAAUAAGAAGGUUUUAUUAUUAUAUUUCAGUUAUCCGAAAUAGCCUUACUUCUUGCGUGGUAUGCUCCUGUUGCUCGACGUCUUCGGUAGUAUUCGUGGUAACCAGAGGCCCUGAAUCGACCACGACCUCGCCAUCCUCGAGUACAACCUGUCGCUUCACUCUCGUCUCGAUCUGCCUGGUGGUCGUUAUUUCUUUUUUCUUUCGAGUCUCCCAUUCCUCUGAAAACGGAAGCGAGUACUCUUUCCACUUGGACUAUACAAUGCCGGCGUUAUUGCGAAAAACCAAUCUUUCUAACUGAACGAAUAAGAAUGGGAGGUAGAGAGAGAGAGAGAGAGAGAGAAGGGAGGUAAAAAAAAGAAAAAAGACGAAGAAGAGUUGAGAAGGAGAGAGGCGAAGUGGUGCGAGUAGACGUCGAUGAUUGCAGUGAUCCGUUUCGCGACGUCGAACAAGAAUAAGAGGAACUUCGCUGAUGUUAAUACGCUUCACGGUACAAAGACGAGAAGAUCUACUCACGAGAAUCGGUGGAACGCUCGCUGACGGUGGACGAGCCUCGUAUCGCCGUGUUGAAAUCACCUCCAUCAUUCGAUCAUGCCUGCUGGUGAAUCCUAGUGCUAUUAGAGGCUGUCGUGACAGGAAGUGAAAUUAUUGGUUCACGGAUUCCUCCAACAAAAGUCUGCCUUCUUAUCCGAUUACUUGACUUUUCUGGAAUAAUCCAGAAUAUAAUAAUAUACAUAUCUUCCUUUCACAAAUCAUAAAUUUAUAAAUUAUAUCAGUUUAUACAAAAGAAAUUAGGCGACAAGAGAAAUUAUUGUAGUAUGGAGGAAAAACUGUCGGGGAAAACCUGGUGAGCUAUAGGUAGAAAGCAAGGACAGUGCUGACAGGCAGAAAAUGAUAGAAAAUACUGAUGGGCCAGAUGCUUGCGGCCCUUUGGGACAUUGGG
rnacentral:misc_RNA from 1 species